rnacentral:tRNA from 1 species
GUUUGUGUAAUAUAAAUUAUUAUAUUUGAUUUCCAAUCAAAAAAUCUAAAUCUAGCACAAACA